UGAGGAGAAAGACACAGAAACUUUGAAGGUGAAAAACAGGAUAAAUCAAAGAGGGUAGUCUGAAGAAUAAGAAGAGGUUUUAAAAUAGCAUUUCUCAGGAAAGUGAUGCCAGAAAAUUUGACCUUGUGGUAAUGUACAUUUCGUUCAUCUACAGUCCAACUGCAAAUAAUUCCUCAUAAGGGUGACUGACAAGGCCUUGUCUUCUAGAUUAAUUAUAACCAUGCUGAGGAAAACAGAACUCCUGAAGCAAUUAACAUACUCUUUGGACAAGAAGAGUAAAGGAAUCAGCAAAAUUAUGGUGACUGGGUGACCCAACAGAGAGGAAUUAACUAUUAGACAUUGGUCUGAAAAUGAAAUGUAAUGUGGUGAGAGGAAAUAGUUCUGAUUCAUAAACAGUUAUAAGACAAAUUGCUAUACCAUCCAAAGAAGAGGUUUUAACAUCCUAAUCAGAAAAAAAAAAAAAAGUGUUUUACAUAACAAGACUGUUGAUGAAGGGAACAUAAUGGGCUUAACUGUUCUUGUCAUACCCAUAAGAUGACACUAUUUCUGCAUUUCAGCCCAUUUCAAAUGUAGGUAUGAUUAAGAGAGCAUGUUUUCUAGGUUCUAAUCCUGACUUCAUCACAUUACUUACUAGCUACAUAUAUUUGGGCAAGUUACCUAAUCAUCUUGCCUCAGUUUUUUGUUUUUUUUUUUUUAUCUGUAAAGUAAGGAUAACAUUAGUACCUACCUCUAAGGGUUGUUGUGAGAAUUAAAUGAGAUAUACAUAAAGCAUUUAUAAUGAUGUUUGGCAGAUAGUAUGUGCUAUAGAAAAUUAUUAGCUGCAUUUAGUGUUAUUUCUGGGAAGUUCUUACAUAAUUCAACUCAUGCCUUGCUCCUUCUUCCCCAUCUUUUAACCUUUGUUUCAUCUAAGCAGGUCUCCUCUCUGCCCCCACACCCACUUACUUUUCUGUCUCUAGGUGUAAUAGUUUCCCAGGGCUGCCUUUAAAAGCACAGGUGAAGUAUUCCUUAUCCAAAAUGCUUGGGACCAGAGGUGUUUUGGAUUUCAGAUUCAGAAAUAUUUGUACAUACAUAAUGAGACAUCUUGGUGAUGGGAUCCAAGACUACACAUAAGAUUUAUUUAUGUUUCAUAUAAACCUUAUACACAUGGCCUGAAGGUAAUUUAUACAAUAUUUUAAAUAAUUUUGUGUAUGAAACAGUUUCAACUGCAUUUGGCUGCAGGGGUGAAAUUUUCCAAUUGUGGCAUCAUGUCAGUGCUCAAAACGUUUGAUUUGGGAUUUUGGAUUUUUCAAUUAAGGAUGUUCAACCUAUACUACAAAUUGGAUGAAUUAUAACAACGGAAAUGUAUUGUCUCACAAUUCUAAAGUCCAAAAUCAGGGUAUCAGUAACAUUGAUCCCUUCUGAAGGACCUAAGGGAGAAUCUACUCCAUGCCUCUUUUCUGGUGCAAUCCUUGGUGUUUCCCGGCUCCUUGACAAACUGUUUCAAUCUCUGCCUCUCUCAUCACAUGGCAUUCUCUUCCAUGUCCGUGUCCAAAUUUCUCUCAUCUUAUAAGGACACUAAUCAUUUGAUUAGGACCCACUCUAAUGCAGUAUGACCUCAUCUUAGUUGGAUUACAUUUGCAAAGAUGCUAUUUCCAAAUAAGGUCACAUUCACAGGCAAUGGGGGUUAGGACUUGAACUAUCUUUUGGGGACACGAUUUAACACAAAAAACUAGGCUUUUGUUCAAACAGCUACCUAUUCUUGAAAUUCUCUCCCUCUCAUCUGCCUUCUGUAUUUUUCCUCCCAUCCUUCAUAGCUGACUUGGUUUUUAAAAUACCCCUAACUACAACUGCAUUCAUCUCUCUUCAUAUUGCCAAGCCAUUGAGAACUUAAUGUAUCCGGUAUGUUAGUUCUCUGGCAAAGCUAGACUCUGAAUAAGUGGAUCCUAGGAUACUUUCUAGUCUCCAUGGUAUUAACACUCUGUUGGUCAAAGUGGAUCCUUUAUAAACAUUAUUGAUGAGUUUACUACUGUGUUAGUUUAAUAAAUGUAUCUAUGUAUUGUUUGCCUCUGUUUAUGAAGUAAUUCUAGAAUGAAGGAAAAACAUAUCCCAGUUGUGUCAUAUUAUGAUGCUUAUCAGACCAUAGAAAAUAGCUUGAAAGCUCUUUCAUAAGCCAUUUUAACAAAAAGCAUGAAGCCUUUGGUCCUUGUUCAAAAGCAACUUAAAAUCUAGUUAGGAAGACAAGGACUAAAGUGAGAACAAUUAGAGGAAAAGAAAGCUUCAUGUUUUGUGGCAUUAUAUAGUUAUAGGCUAUAUUUAUAAAUUCUGACACAACAAUAACUAGAAAACAAGGCAACACAUGAUAAGGGCAAACUGUACGUUCAAAAUGGAAAAGAAGAGAUCAAAGUUACUCUUUAAACAUAUAGCUGGUUUUAGACAUCUUGUAGAUUUGGGGAUGGGGUCGUUUUCUUUUGCUUCAGUUAAUUCAUGAAAAAGAUGUUGAUGUCAUUUGAUUAUGUAACAAUUAGAAUAUUGUUUCACCAUUUAGGGGUUUUGCAGUGUGUGUCUUUUUAAUCCAUUCACCAAUCAAGUGACAGAAAGCUAAUUCACUGCCAUAAAUGUCAUACAAUAUCACAGGUGCCACAAAGAUCUUGACACAAUAGUUCCUUUUUGCACUGGCUGCAGUCGAAGUUGAAAUCACAGGACUAGAAAAAACAUCCCUGACUGUUCCCUCCUAGGAUUACUCUGACUAAAGAAUUUCAACCCAUAUAUUACAGCCAAAAGCUGUCUGCCACAAGCUUUAACUCAUUGGUUCUUGAUGUGUUGGGCCACUUAAGACCAAGUUUAAUCCUUCUCCCACAUGACAGCCUUUCAAACAGCUGCAAGCAGUUAUCAUUCUCGCCGCAUUUUCCCUCUCUCUAGCUUAAGUGGUAUGACAUGUUAUCAUAACCCUUCCCUCCUGAGCAAUCUCACUUGUGUGUGCCCCACCUUGUCUAUCACACUGUUAAAGGGUGAUGUCCAGAACGGAAUACAACUUUCAGGUGUGCACUGACAGCCACAGCAUAUUUAUAGCAAUAAUGCCUCCGAAACAGCUCAUGUCUCUUAUCUCUUCUCCAUCCUUACAGAGUAAGCCUAGUCUUUACAAUAGAGAAAUUCCUUUAAUAGCUUCCUUCCUGGACCACUUACCACCACAAUCUUCAUGCUAUUCUUCUUCUUUUCUGUAAUAUAAAUAUUAUAAUAGGAUAAUAGUACUUCUAUAAAGAUUUUUAGAGGCCCUCUAUUUUCAACAUAAAUAUCAAUAAAAUUUAAUUCCUUAGGAAGACAGGGAAGUAUAGCAACGAGUAUUUUGGCAUUAUUACCAGUUCAAUUUCUGCCAACUUCGUAUUUAUUUUGGGUUGAAUUGCAUACCCCCAAAAUUCAUAUGUUGAAGUACUAAUCCCCCGCUCCUCUACCUCGGAAUGUGACCUUACUGGGAAUGAGGUCAUUGCACAUGUAGCUAAGAUGAGCCUUUGGAGUAGGCUCUAAUCUACUAUGAUUGAUGUCUUUAUAAAAAGGAGAAAUUUGGACACAGACACACACAGAGGCCACAUGAAGAUGCAAAUAGUCAUCUACAAGCCAAGGAGAGAGGCCUGAAACCAUUUCUUCCCUCACAGCUGUCAGAAGGAACCAACCCUGCCAACAUCUUGACUUCAGAUUUUUAGCCUCCAGAACUGUGAGAUGACUUCUUUUAUUUAAGCCCCCCAGUUUGUGGGGCUUUGUUACAGCCCUAAAACAGUUAUACAUCACUCUUACUCAUUCUCUACAAAACAGUCCUGAGCUCCAAUGAACUAAGAUGUGAAGUAUUCAUUAAUUUGCUUUUGAUAUAUAAGAAACAACCUCCAAAAUUCGUGGUUCAAAACAACAACCAUUUCCUUAGCUCAUGAUUCUGCAGAUGAGAAAAUUGAGCUGGGUUCUCCUAGUCAGUUGUAGUCUGGAUGGGCUCCACUGAGUUUAUCUCGAUUCUUUCAAACUUUAAAGGUCAGCUAGCUGGGCUAUGAUGGUAUUGGCUGGGACACCUAGGAAUGAUGAGACCUCUCCCCAUGUGGUCUCUCAGCCUCCAGCGGGCUAGCCCCCGGAGUUCCAAAAAGCAAAAGAAUAAGCCUCAAUGUGAGGGAACUUCUCAAGUCUCAUCUUACUUUCCGUUUUCUAUUACUCCAUUAGUCAAAUCAUAAGGGUAGGCCAGAUCAAAGGGGUGGGGAAAUAGAUCUCCUCUUUAUGGAACAGAUGUGAAGUCACAUUGCUUGGAUGUAGAUACAGGGAAAUAAAGAACACGCAAUUGUUCUUUAUUGCCAAAUUCAUUCAUUCAUUACCAAACUUCACUCCUUCAUUACCAGAUUAUUUCUGUGAUCCCCACAGAAGGU